rnacentral:rRNA from 1 species
AUUGAACGCUGGCGGCAGGCCUAACACAUGCAAGUCGAACGGCAGCACAGAAGAGCUUGCUCUUUGGGUGGCGAGUGGCGGACGGGUGAGUAAUGUCUGGGAAACUGCCCGAUGGAGGGGGAUAACUACUGGAAACGGUAGCUAAUACCGCAUAACGUCGCAAGACCAAGGCGGGGGACCUUCGGGCCUCACACCAUCGGAUGUGCCCAGAUGGGAUUAGCUAGUAGGUGGGGUAAUGGCUCACCUAGGCGACGAUCCCUAGCUGGUCUGAGAGGAUGACCCGCCACACUGGAACUGAGACACGGUCCAGACUCCUACGGGAGGCAGCAGUGGGGAAUAUUGCACAAUGGGCGCAAGCCUGAUGCAGCCAUGCCGCGUGUAUGAAGAAGGCCUUCGGGUUGUAAAGUACUUUCAGCGGGGAGGAAGGCGGUGAGGUUAAUAACCUUGCCGAUUGACGUUACCCGCAGAAGAAGCACCGGCUAACUCCGUGCCAGCAGCCGCCGUAA